rnacentral:rRNA from 1 species
AGUGGCAGACGGGUGAGUAACGCGUGGGAACGUACCUUUUGGUUCGGAACAACACAGGGAAACUUGUGCUAAUACCGGAUAAGCCCUUACGGGGAAAGAUUUAUCGCCGAAAGAUCGGCCCGCGUCUGAUUAGCUAGUUGGUGAGGUAACGGCUCACCAAGGCGACGAUCAGUAGCUGGUCUGAGAGGAUGAUCAGCCACAUUGGGACUGAGACACGGCCCAAACUCAUACGGGAGGCAGCAGUGGGGAAUAUUGGACAAUGGGCGCAAGCCUGAUCCAGCCAUGCCGCGUGAGUGAUGAAGGCCCUAGGGUUGUAAAGCUCUUUUGUGCGGGAAGAUAAUGACGGUACCGCAAGAAUAAGCCCCGGCUAACUUCGUGCCAGCAGCCGCGGUAAUACGAAGGGGGCUAGCGUUGCUCGGAAUCACUGGGCGUAAAGGGUGCGUAGGCGGGUCUUUAAGUCAGGGGUGAAAUCCUGGAGCUCAACUCCAGAACUGCCUUUGAUACUGAGGAUCUUGAGUUCGGGAGAGGUGAGUGGAACUGCGAGUGUAGAGGUGAAAUUCGUAGAUAUUCGCAAGAACACCAGUGGCGAAGGCGGCUCACUGGCCCGAUACUGACGCUGAGGCACGAAAGCGUGGGGAGCAAACAGGAUUAGAUACCCUGGUAGUCCACGCCGUAAAC